rnacentral:lncRNA from 1 species
GUGCCUAUUUUAUUACUAUUUUUUUAAGUCAGUUUUGUUGAAGUUUGGGAUUUUAUUUAUUUAUUUUUUGGUGGUUUUUGUUUUUGUCUGUUUGUUUCUUUGUUUUCUUUUAGAUCAUCUCACUGUGUGUCCCAGACUGGCUUCAAACUCUGUCUCCCUGGUGCAUCCUCCAGGGGGUUGGAUUGUGUAUGUGUCCAGCAUCUCAGGAUAUGUCCAUUCUAAUGAGGAAGGUGAUCAGACAGAGUUUCCCUAUUCCAUGGUUGUUAAGAAGCACCAUGAUCAAGGCAGCUUUUAACAAAAGAAAACAUUUAAUUGUGUACAGUGUUAGAGGGUUAGUCUGCGAUUAUCGUGGCAGAAAGUGGUCAGGCAGGCACUGGAGCAGUGGCUGAGAGCUUUACAACCUGACCCACAGGCAGAGAAAGUGACACUGGGCCUGUUGUGCGAUUUUGAAACCUCAAAGCAGUGACACAUCUGCUCCAAGAAGGUCAUGCCUAAUCCUUUACAAGGACAGUUCCACCAGCUUGGGACCAAGCAUUCAAAUACAUGAGCCUAUGGGAACCAGUUUCAUUGUAACAAUCACAUAGGUCAUUUUUCUUUGUUAUUCAGCCUAAAUGGUGACAUUGUAUUUCUUUGAUUCUGGGGGUAGGGGGUGCUACUGGAUGUCUUCCUCAGUUGCUUUCCACCUCUGUUUUUGAGGUAGUGUCUCUCCUUGAACAGGAAGGUCAUUGAUUUAGUUAGGCUGGCUAGCCUCUCAGUUGGCACUUCUCUCCCUGCAAGCUCUGGUGUUACAGAUGAGUGUGAACUCUCUUGGCAUCGGACCUCUGGAACUGAACUCAGGUCCUUAGACAUGGGUGGCAGGCACUUUACCAAUAGAGCUAUCUUCCCAUUCUUACAUACAUGUGAAAAAUGUACUAAAGGCAUUGCAGGAAUGCCUCAGUUGGUAAAGUACCUUGCAAGCUUGAGGACCCGAGUUCAUCUCUCCCUAGAACCCAUGCAAAUGGCUGGGCACACAUGUAAUCGAAAUGUUGUGGAGACAGAUUCUACUUGGCAAAGCUCCAGGUCAUAAGAGCCAGCCUGAAAGAGGAAGGAGGCAGCUGAGGACUGACAAUGAAGGCUGACCUCCACAAGCUCAUGAUAUCAUAAUUAAGUAGAGUUCUGCAUUCUGUGUGUGUGUGUGUGUGCGCGCGUGUGCGUGUCCGCGCACACGUGCAUGUAUAUGUGUGCUUGUACAAUCUCUAGAUUCCACAUUCAAUUGCAGUGUCUAGUUAAGCCGCUACUUAACCAUGAACACUACCAUUGUUUUUCAGUGGCUAAUAAAGGGGUAUAGAGGAUAUAGUUCUAAGGUAACUAAAAAAAUUACUGAGUCAUAUUUUAAAGAGACUGGAUAUGUUUUAAUAUGUGAUGUGUACUUGUGUCAAAAUCAAGCCAUAUGUUGUUCCUAGUAGCAUACAUUGCUUGUACAUUUUGAUUUCUCUUUCCUUUUGCUUUCAGCUAUACUUGAGGCAACCACAGCUUUUUGGUUUUUUUAUUAUAGAGCAUGGUGUGAUUUGGUUUUUGAGACAGGAUCUAGCCUGAAGAGAUGGAGCCAGAGUGGUCCUCCUGCCUGAAAACUUGAGUGUGCUGGGAUUUCAGGAGUGUGCCACUUUACCCAGAUACGUAUAGAAAUUUUCACCUGUGUAUUCUUAGCUUCCUUUUGUCCCUCUUUCAUUUAUCUCUUUUCCAGUUUGCAUAACCUGUAUACAUAUUGUAACAUAUUGAUGUUCUUCUUGAACUUCACUAGUAUAACUUGUUCUUUAAGCCCUUUGACAUCAUAGUUUUGGUGGGAGUGUGUGCCUGAGCUUGUGGAGGGCAGAGACAGCCUCCAUUGUCAGUCCUCACUGCUUUCUCCCUCCUUGUGUGAGACAGUCUCUCUUAUGACCUGGAGCUUUGCAAGUAGAGUCUGUGUCUGCAGCCUUGGGAUUACACGUGUGCCUGCCCAGCCUUUUGCAUGGGUUCUGGGGAGAUGAACUUGCGUCCUUGUGCUUGCAGGGUGCUUUACCAACUGAGGCAUUUUUGCAAUCCCCUUUAGUAUAUUUUUGAUAUUUUGGCCUAAGAGCCAACUUGAGCUUGGUUGUGCCUUCUGUUUCAGAGCAGUAAUUUUAAAAAUCCAUUUUUUUUGUGGACAGAACUAGUUAUCUUUCCUUUAGAGUUUCUGGAUUUCUCUUAAGGCAACCCUGGGCUGGAGCAGAGGUGUGGUUUAGUUUUUGAGACCAGAUCUAACCUGACUCAAAACAGGGUAAAUGUGGUUGCCACUAAGCAUGCCAAUCUGAGUUGAGUUUCCAGGACCCACACAGUGGGAGAGAACCAACUUUCCCAACUCUGACCUCUGCACAGGCACCGUGGCAAUGCACAUACCCAUGCACCCACACAUAAAUACAUUUUUAAAAGAGCAAUCCCAUCCCAAGAGUAUACAAAUAAAAUACCUAUAAAGUUGGUCCUAUUAUUUCAUAAUUGUUGACUGGCUUUUGUGUCGAUUUCACAGUAUGUAAUAAUGUACCUGAAAUUUGUGUUGUUUUUAUAUUUUCUUCCAAG